rnacentral:tRNA from 1 species
GCGAGAGUGGCGGAACGGCAGACGCGCUAGAUUUAGGAUCUAGUACCUUAGGGUGUGAGGGUUCGACUCCCUCCUCUCGCA